rnacentral:rRNA from 1 species
GACGAACGCUGGCGGCGUGCUUAACACAUGCAAGUCGAACGGAAAGGCCCUGCUUUUGUGGGGUGCUCGAGUGGCGAACGGGUGAGUAACACGUGAGUAACCUGCCCUUGACUUUGGGAUAACUUCAGGAAACUGGGGCUAAUACCGGAUAGGAGCUCCUGCUGCAUGGUGGGGGUUGGAAAGUUUCGGCGGUUGGGGAUGGACUCGCGGCUUAUCAGCUUGUUGGUGGGGUAGUGGCUUACCAAGGCUUUGACGGGUAGCCGGCCUGAGAGGGUGACCGGCCACAUUGGGACUGAGAUACGGCCCAGACUCCUACGGGAGGCAGCAGUGGGGAAUAUUGCACAAUGGGCGGAAGCCUGAUGCAGCAACGCCGCGUGCGGGAUGACGGCCUUCGGGUUGUAAACCGCUUUCGCCUGUGACGAAGCGUGAGUGACGGUAAUGGGUAAAGAAGCACCGGCUAACUACGUGCCAGCAGCCGCGGUGAUACGUAGGGUGCGAGCGUUGUCCGGAUUUAUUGGGCGUAAAGGGCUCGUAGGUGGUUGAUCGCGUCGGAAGUGUAAUCUUGGGGCUUAACCCUGAGCGUGCUUUCGAUACGGGUUGACUUGAGGAAGGUAGGGGAGAAUGGAGUUCCUGGUGGAGCGGUGGAAUGCGCAGAUAUCAGGAGGAACACCAGUGGCGAAGGCGGUUCUCUGGGCCUUUCCUGACGCUGAGGAGCGAAAGCGUGGGGAGCGAACAGGCUUAGAUACCCUGGUAGUCCACGCUGUAAACGGUGGGUACUAGGUGUGGGGCCCAUUCCACGGGUUCCGUGCCGUAGCUAACGCUUUAAGUACCCCGCCUGGGGAGUACGGCCGCAAGGCUAAAACUCAAAGGAAUUGACGGGGCCCCGCACAAGCGGCGGAGCAUGCGGAUUAAUUCGAUGCAACGCGUAGAACCUUACCUGGGUUUGACAUGGAUCGGGAGUGCUCAGAGAUGGGUGUGCCUCUUUUGGGGUCGGUUCACAGGUGGUGCAUGGCUGUCGUCAGCUCGUGUCGUGAGAUGUUGGGUUAAGUCCCGCAACGAGCGCAACCCUUGUUCACUGUUGCCAGCACGUUAUGGUGGGGACUCAGUGGAGACCGCCGGGGUCAACUCGGAGGAAGGUGGGGAUGACGUCAAGUCAUCAUGCCCCUUAUGUCCAGGGCUUCACGCAUGCUACAAUGGCUGGUACAGAGAGUGGCGAGCCUGUGAGGGUGAGCGAAUCUCGGAAAGCCGGUCCCAGUUCGGAUUGGGGUCUGCAACUCGACCUCAUGAAGUCGGAGUCGCUAGUAAUCGCAGAUCAGCAACGCUGCGGUGAAUACGUUCCCGGG